rnacentral:rRNA from 1 species
UACGUAGGGGGCAAGCGUUGUUCGGAAUGACUGGGCGUAAAGGGUGCGUAGGCGGUGUAGCAAGUUAGAAGUGAAAUACCUAGAGCUUAACUCAGGUGCUGCUUCUAACUGCUAUACUUGAGUGCAGUAGAGGAAAGUGGAAUUCCUAGUGUAGCGGUGGAAUGCGUAGAUAUUAGGAGGAACAUCAGUGGCGAAGGCGACUUUCUGGACUGUAACUGACGCUGAGGCACGAAAGUGUGGGGAGCAAACAGG